rnacentral:rRNA from 1 species
ACAAGCGGUGGAUGAUGUGGUUUAAUUCGAUGCAACGCGAAAACCUUACCCACCUUUGACAUGGCAGGAAUCCCGAAGAGAUUUGGGAGUGCUCGAAAGAGAACCUGCACACAGGUGCUGCAUGGCUGUCGUCAGCUCGUGUCGUGAGAUGUUGGGUUAAGUCCCGCAACGAGCGCAACCCUUGCCAUUAGUUGCUACGAAAGGGCACUCUAAUGGGACUGCCGGUGACAAACCGGAGGAAGGUGGGGAUGACGUCAAGUCCUCAUGGCCCUUAUAGGUGGGGCUACACACGUCAUACAAUGGCCGGUACAGAGGGUAGCCAACCCGCGAGGGGGAGCCAAUCCCACAAAGCCGAUCGUAGUCCGGAUCGCAGUCUGCAACUCGACUGCGUGAAGUCGGAAUCGCUAGUAAUCGUGGAUCAGCAUGUCACGGUGAAUACGUUCCCGGGUCUU